UUUUUAUCCGUUCAAUUAAAUUUCUCUGAAAGAAAUAUCUCCAUCAUGCGCAAAGUUUCAUUUGAUAAACUAUUUUUUCAAAAACCUAUGAUCGAUGACAUCUCAAGAAGAUCGAUCUACCUUAAUUUAUGUACAUGUGUUGACUUUUAUAACGGGUGUGUAUGUGUGUGAAACAACAAUGUUGAAUGUUUGGUUAAAAAUAACACAGUAUCUAAUUGCAUGGGAGCAACUUCAAAAUCUGAGAAAAUUUUUACAUUACAUAAUAAUACCCACCCCCAUACAAUUCAAUGCCAUAAAUAUUUAUCUAAAUUUGGUUUUCCUCAUUCUUAUAUAUAAAAAGAAACAUUUCCAAUAACAACAAUGCAAGAUGCAAUUUUUAAUAAUACCCGUAUGAAAUUUUUAGACGUACUAUGCCUGGAAAUCAAAGAAAUCCAGGCGUACAAGAAUUCUACGUAGUUUUGAAAAUAGGGUUAAAUUUGAGACGUACACGUAUUUUGACAAAAAUACGUCUCCUUAACCCAAGGUGUAUUUUUCAAACUCCAGGUGGAUUUUGUAACUUUGUUCAUUCUAAAUAGGGAAUUCAGAGACUUAGACUUUUCAAGAGGCAUAUUUUUUUGUUAAAAGAACUUAGUCAAUUUCAUGAGACGUAUUAUUAUAAAUCCAGAUGGAUUUUCUAACUUUGUAACUUUUUUUGAAAUUGAAGCUAUUCUCUUUUUUUUUUUUUUUUUGUAUGAUUCUGUUAAAUUCCCAACUUCAAGCAAAUGUCUCAGUCCCUUGAUGCCAAAACCUUAACCAAAAAAAACUUGACACAAGUAGCUACAUGAAAUGAAAUGCUUUUAUCUUGGAUAUAUACAAAUUACAAUGACAGCCAUUUCCUCUAGAAUGUAUUGAAGUUGUGAACAUUGCACAUACAAAUCUUGAUAAAUAAUAAUUACCUGGUAUGUCUAUUUCAAUGACUGAGAAUUUUGACAGAAAUUUAAUUACAAUACAUAAAAAAUAAAUUUCAUUUUUGAAAUUACAUGAGGGUAUGAACUGCAAUGCUUCAAACAUGUCAAACCAGCAUUCAUGAAGUGGUAUAAUGCUUAAAGAAGCAUGUCAGUAGGAAGCAUUGCUUUUUCAAAAAUGAAAUUCAUUACAUUAUAUCAAAUGUAUCAUCAUCCUCAUCAUCAAACUCAAAAUCUGUGUCAUCUGACAUACAAAAUCUUUCAUCACUUGAAUCAUCAUCAGUUUUGUAUAAAUGAAAUGGGUGCUGAAACUGUAAACAACACUUGUCUUCACAAUCACAUUUCUGUGAGCAAAUAUCACAACACAGAUGCUUGAUACCUUUUCCAUUUGGAUGAGAAUCGUAUGACUGUAACAUUUGAAGUCUACGGCAUUUAUCUUUAUUCUCAAUGUAAUUUUUCAUGUCAGAAUCAAGUUUGUGUGUGUGUCUGCUGUUGUAAAUAAGCAGAUGCAAAGCUUGACAACCAUCACGACCAGCACGCCCAAGCUGUUGAACGAAACUGUCCAUAUCUUUAGGUGGACCAUAAUGUACAACAUUGUUGAUGCCUUUAUAAUUCACCCCCACACCUGCUGCACUUGUAGCAAUUAAGACUCGUAUUGUCCCAUUCUCAUCAUUCAUGUCCUGUCUAAUUUUUUCCUUCACUGUUUCAGAUGUACAAGAAUGAAACAUAUUGACAUAUUCCAUAACAGACUUGUCCAACACCAUCAGAAAUGCAGUAUAUAUGUCUGCACAAGUUUUUAUACUUGAACAAAAUACAAGUGUUCUGGUACAGUCCUUUUUCUCAAGAGACAAGUCCUUUAGUAACCAACCAAAUGUCACUUCAAUAGGCACAGUGUUUUUAAUCUUUUCCAGAAAUAAUUUUAUGUUUUCCCUAUCUGGACUGUCAAUAAUGUCUACACAGUUGUUUAGAGCAAGUCGUUUCCUAAUUAAUUUUCUUGCUUCCUUACUAGCAGUGGCUGUGAUCACUAGGGCAGGACAACUGAUCAAUGAUCUUAUCUCCCCGGUCCGUGAAAACCAUUCCCUGAAAGCCUGGAUAUGCAAUCCCUUACCAAAAUGUAAAGUUUGCUGCAAAUUUGCCGCAAGUUUGCUGCAAGUUUGCGGCAAACAAAUCAGUGUGUCAGAGCUGUUUGCCAGAAGUGUGCAGCUAAUGCCGCUAGCGGCAUACAGUGUGCCACUAGCAGUACACAGUGUGCCACUAGUGGCACAGUGUGCCAGAAGUGCACCACAACUUUUCCUAAAUGAAACAGUGUGCCAGAAGUGCACCACAACUUUUUCUUUGGUAUUCAGAAUCAAAACUGUGUGCCAGAAAUGCACCACAACUUUUUCUUUGGUUUUCAGAAUCGUGUACCAGAAGUUCACAACUUUUUUCUUAAAAUUUUAGAACUGAAACAGUAAGGGUACCAAAGUUCACGACUUUUUCUUGAAUAUUUAGAAUAAAAGAGCCAUAUCAAUAUAUCCAUCACAACAUUUUCUAUAAUAGAACAUAUGCAACAUUUCUCGCACCCCCUUCAAUCGAUCUUCUUGUCUUAAUGGGAAUUAGCGGUCAUUUUGUCACCAAAUAUUGAAUUCAAUGAAAGUUGCCCUAUAAUAGAUAUUAUAUAUUAAAGUAAUAAUUACACUUGUAUUUAAUUAUUUCAAACACCUUUUAACAUCUUGAAAAAGAAUAUGUGAUUUUGGUGAUUGAAUAUUAUUGUCUUGCGAGACAGUAUAAUUAUUCUCUAGUUACCUUUGCAUGCUGUCAGUAAAAUGUAUUUGUUGUUUUUGUUUAUAUUUGAGAAAUGAUUUGAUUGGGGUGCAGUGAAUACUUCUUCCGUAUAUAUAUUUCUUUACAUUAAAAGCGGUUAUCUAACAUAGUUUUAUUAGGAUUAAUUUUCUUGUUUUUGUACAUAAUAAAAAAUAAAUGUUCUUAUUAGUCAUCAAUAUGUAUUUCAAUAUCAUCGAGAGAUUUUGAGAGAAAAAUAGUUGCCAUCACUUUCACAGCUAAUGCCCCUUUAAAGUAAGAUGUAAGUGCACAGGUAUCUGAAUUUUAAUCUAAUUAUUUCAAUUAUUUAUUGAUUCACCAAGCAUGUUGGCAUACAAUCAUGUUACACAAUAUGAGAUAUAUAAUGACAAUAAACUAAUUACUAACAGUUCAUUUACAUAUAUGUAAAUACAAGUAUAUAUUUGAUAUGUACCUGUGAUAUUAGACUAUGUAUACAAUUUAGUAUUGCAUAUAUUACAUAAAUUAAAUGUAGUUAUAGCACUCUACUUUUGGUGCGCAAUUCAAAACAUUCAUGGAAAAAUUAAAUGUAGUUAUAGCACUCUACUUUUGGUGCGCAAUUCAAAACAUUCAUGUAAAAAUUCAAAAAACCUUCUAGCAUGAACUACAUUGACAGGGUUGCAUAGUACUUUACAAUGGUUUUCCUUUGAUAUAGCAUCGUGUGAAUUGUAGAUGUUCAAAGGGUAAUAGUUAAUUAGAAAAAAAUGUGAAGAAAUUUUUUUUUAAUAUCUAAAUAAAUGGAGAGAGAGAGAGAGAGAGAGAGAGAGAGAGAGAGAGAGAGAGAGAGAUUUCUUUUCUUUAUUUACAUGUAUAUCUGUUGAUUACAGUUCAGAUACUGGGUUUGUGAGUUGAAAUUAAUCAAAUGAGAGUGGUAAAAAUCCACCUUUAUAUGUAUAAUUUACAUAUCAGGAUUUUAUCCAGGUACGUUAUUCUGGUUUGUGGAAUGCUAAUUUAUACUAAGUUAGAAUAAUCUAAGCUGUAUACCAAAGUAGGUCUUCAUGGGGCUUUACGGCUCUAUGCAUCGUAAAUAGAGAUCGGGUUCAAUGCGUCGGGUGUGGGAUUCACACAAUAUAAGCUGAGCGCGAAAGUUGAUAUUGACAGGCGCCAUAAUGUUAUACCGGUAAACAACAUUUUGAACAUGAAUCGAGAACAGGAGUUGAAUCAGUUGAUGCAGAUAUUCUGAGGAGAAUCUUCCAGUCAUUGAAAUAUAUUUCAUGAUAGUCAUGCAGAUUCAGAAGUUGUGAUGGUGUGUUGAUAGGCUGUCUUCAACUUGCCAUAUCUUAGAGUUCCAACAUGCAGGCCUGGAUUAAUGUGUAUAAAUCACUAAUGAAAAAAAGAAUGACAUUUCAAUUUAUACACACUUGCCAAGUGAAUCUGAUGAGACUGCUACAUGUAUUUGUGAGUAAAGGCACUCUGUCUUAACCGAAAAAACUAUUUACAGUUUAUCACAACAAAUGGAUGGGACAGUAGAGCUGUUGCGGACAAUAUGUGAUUGUGAUGACCAAGUACUGAACAAGUGGAAGAUUAGAAGAAGGUCCAGAAUUCAAUCAUGUUUUUGAUUCUAAGGUGCACACAGCAUGGAGAUAGUCCUAUUAUUCUCCCGUUCAUCUAUGAUGGAGAAACUUGUGUAAAUGUUUAGUGUUCUCCCUAAUAAUUAAGUGCCCACAAGUCUGUAUUAAUUUAUCAGAAUAUAAAGUCCUUCACAGUACUGAUUUUAAAAUUAAUGUAGAUUGUCUCCAGAUUUUUCUGAGGAAAAGUGCAUAGUUUACAUGUGUGAAUUUUGAAUAUAUUUCAUUCUUGUCUGCAAAUGUUGCCGAAACCUGUUGUUAUUGAUGCACAGUCAUGUUAUGCAAAUGAUAGACCUUCUUAACUACAUGUACAGAAGAUCAUGUCAACUCCUUUGUCUUAAUUGUAUACACAAUUCUAGCAUUUAUAGCAUCAUUUAUAUAGCACUUGCUAGCUUAAGAAGGAUUUUAUUUUCUAAAAGCUUUCAUUUGACAUGAUUGAUCUAAAACGACCAAAAUUCACAAAUCUAUUUAAAUCACAACCUGACCUUAUGUCAGAAAAGUGCCACUGUGGGUUGAUAUUUUUCUCUUGGAUCUUGAAAGAAAUUCUUUAUGCAGCAGUUUCCAAAUAAAAUGUACUCUCAUGGCCAGGGUGGGACUUCACUGAGAACUUUUUAACAUUGCACAAUGCAAUAUUUGUAGAUUAGAAGUUGUUGCAGUUUCUUUAAGUUUUCUCUCACAUCUUGUUAUAAUUAUAUUUUAUAUUUUUGGUUGGGUUGCACAAUGUGCAAACAGUUUAUAAAAUGGUGAAUGACUCAGUGGUGGGCAAGCGACAGUAGCGUCCCUGUAAUAGUACCUACUUUGUGUAAUCAACUCCUUUCAUACCUCUCACUUGAUGUUCCUUAAACUUUGUACAGUUGUUAGGGAUACAUUGAAGAUGUGCCUUUUUGAAAGUGAUCAGACAUUUUUUGAAAAAUUUACAUGUAGUUGAACUUCGUCAUUUUUAAGCAUUUCUUUAAUCGACAGUACCUAUUUUGUGUAAUCAACUCCUCGUAUACCUCUAACUUGACAUUCCUCAAACUGUGUACAUUUGUUUUGAACACAUUGAAAAUGUGCAUAUGUGUUUUUGAAAGUGAUCAGACAUUUAAAAAAAAAUGUAUAUGUAGUUGAACUUAGUCAUUUUUAAGCAUUUCUUGAAUAGAUGGUAACUAUUUUGUGUAAUCAAAUCUUCAUGCACCUCUAACUUGACAUUCCUUAAACUUUGUACAGUUGUUAUGAACACAUUGAAGAUGUGCAUGCAUCUUUUUGAAAAUGAUUAGACUUUUUAAAAAAAAAAAAUUAUGUGUAGUUGAACUUUGUCAUUUUUUAAGCAUUUCCUGAAUAGAUGGUACUUAUUUUUUGUAAUCAACUCCUCUUACAGCAUUUAUUUGACAUUCUUCAGACCUUGAACAGCUGUUAUGGAAGCAUUGUAAAUGUGCAUGUGUCUUUUCAGAAGUGAUCAGGCAUUCUUUGAAAAAUUUACAUGUGCAUGGUGAAGUUGAACUUAGUCAUUUUUUUAAGCAUGGUACUUUAUGUAACCAACUCAGCUUUUACUUAACAUUUUCCAGACCCUGUACAUUAUAGAUGUUUUAAAAACAUUGAAGAUAUUCAUGUAACAUUUUAAAAAUGCUUCUCUUUUUUUUUCUCUCUCUCUUUUUUGUUGUUGAAAAAUUCUACCUUUAAUUUGUCAUUUUCCCAGUAUAUGUUUCUACUGUUGUUCCUAUGAUAGAGAACAUAUUUUACAAGAACCCGGUCAUUUCUGUUUUUGAAUAAAUUUUUUUUAAUUAGUAUUUUUGAAUAUGUUAAUUACUUGAUAUGUCAUUGUUCUUGAAAUUAUAUUAAUUGAAUUGU